UGAAUCCGGUAAUCAAUGGCCAUACUCGUGUUGCCUUGUAACACACGACGGAAGGAGGAUCGGGAGGCCGGGACAGAGAUGGAUCUCUGGCAAAAGACGGCCAGUAGAAUUUGAACACGUGUCAAAUUGAGCGCCGGGGGAAGGGUUAACACGUGCAAGUCGAACGAUGACUCUCUAGGUUGCUAGAGAUGAUUAGUGGCGGACGGGUGAGUAACAUUUAGGAAUCUACCUAGUAGUGGGGGAUAGCUCGGGGAAACUCGAAUUAAUACCGCAUACGACCUACGGGUGAAAGGGGGCGCAAGCUCUUGCUAUUAGAUGAGCCUAAAUCAGAUUAGCUAGUUGGUGGGGUAAAGGCCCACCAAGGCGACGAUCCGUAACUGGUCUGAGAGGAUGAUCAGUCACACUGGAACUGAGACACGGUCCAGACUCCUACGGGAGGCAGC
rnacentral:rRNA from 1 species